CGCAAACUGCAACUGCAAAUCAGUGCUAUUACAUUGCGACCGAGCCUGCCGUGUGUCCUUUCACUCGCGCCUCCCCGGGGGAUUCGCUCCUUCGCUUUACAACCCCCGUUCGAUUGAUUGAGUUUAAUUGAACUAGUUCAUUAAAUGGAAAUUGAUUUAAAGAUUGUCCUUAAUCUUGCUUUGCCUUCACUACGGCCGAUAUUCUCACAACACCAACCGAAAGCAUCGGGCGCAAGGUGGUGGCAAUAAAUAAAUGGGAUGUAGGGAGUGAAAACCGGCCGGAAUUAAGACAUGCUUCCCGAGCAUUACACUUUCGACAGAUAUGCUGAUGAAGGGUGCAGCAUAAAAGGGAUAUGGAAAACGUGCAUGCAAAAGCGAAUGCAUUGACCGGUGAGGUAAAUUGAUCGUUUCGUGUUUUCACACUGGAAGGCGUUACUGGUGAUUAGGAAUGGUUCUUCUAAUUGAAUUGGAUUGCCUCGUUAUCGUGACAGACCGACGGUAGAGAUAACAGCGGCACGAGUUUUUACAAGGCAGGAUCGGGGCUUAAAUCACAUUUGAACCAUAUCUGAAUAGUGAGGAUGGACUUACUACGUGGUAUGAAGAAAAUAAAGUGAUAAUUUUUUUUUUCGUUUUUUUGUAUGACAUUUUUACCGAUGAUCGAUGCCAAUAAAAAAAUUAAUAACUUUAACGAAAUGUAAUGAAACAUUAUUCAACGAUAGAUAAAAGUUUUGUGUUCUACUCGUGCGUAGCUUUAAUAUUUUAGCUUCAAAAUUGUUUAACGAUGAGAAAAACUAGAAAGGAACAUGGUUAAAACUAGUUAAGCAGCUCUCUAGAAGAGAGCAUUCUGCCACAAGAAUUAGAAAAAAAUUGCAUACUAACAGGCGUUAUCACACGUGUAAACGAAACAAAGG